rnacentral:misc_RNA from 1 species
AACGCACAUUGCGCCCGCUAGUAUUCUGGCGGGCAUGCCUGUUCGAGCGUCAUUUCAACCAUCAGGCUCUGUUAAGCCUGUGUUGGGGCCCUGCGGCUGCCGCAGCCCCCUAAAAGCAGUGGCGGGCUCGCUGUCACCUCGAGCGCAGUAGUGUAUCUCGCUCUGGGCGUGGCGGUUGGUGCUAGCCGUGAAACACUCACUAAGGUUGACCUCGGAUCAGGUAGGAAUACCCGCUGAACUUAA